CCUGGGCAUAGUCGGCCAAUUGGUGCCAAAGAGGGACAGAACUUUCUUUAUGUAUGCCACAACAGCAGCAAGAAUACUCAUUGCAAAGUAUUGGAAGACACAAGACCUACCCACCUUGGAAGAAUGGCAGAUGAAGGUGAUGGACUAUAUGGAAUUGGCGGAAAUGACUGGCAGAAUCCGAGACCAGGGAGAAGAGUCGAUGGAGGAAGAUUGGAAAAAGUUCAAAGAUUAUUUACAGAAAUAUUGUAAAAUUAAUGAAUGCUAGAAUGAUGUUGGAUAGAAACUAAAUGGUCUCUAGCUGAAAGGUUACAAGGGAAUAUGAAAAAAGGGUUUAUUAUGUAAUAUGUAAAAAUCUAAAAUUACAAUAUUUUUAUGACUAAUGAUUAGGAUCCAUAAAGAGGGGAGGGAUUUGCUGAACGAAAUAACUGAACUGGAAUACAAAAAAGGAAGGUGUGAGGAGGUCCUGGAAAUAAGCAAACGAAGGUCAAGUAAUGGAAGGAAUGAAUUGUUUUUAAAUAUUUUUACUUUGUAUUUUUUCUUUUUUUGGUGUGUUUUGUAAAAUCUUGAAAAUCUUAAUAAAUAUCUUAUAAAAAAACAAAUGCCAGAGCGUGUUCCCGGAGAUUAUUACCUCUUCCCCAGAGUAGGAAGAGGAAGAUCCUUUUAUAGUCAGAAGUACAGGAAGGAAGAUCCUUUUAUGGUUGAGAGGACCAGAGCAGGAACAUAUGUGAUGUCAACCUGCAUACAUAGGCUGACGUGGCUGGAAGGAGGGAGAGGAUGCCUGGAGGAUAUAUAUUGCAUGAAACUUGUCAUUUCUUUGGACUUGCUGGGGACUAAUCACGCAAGUGCCUUCUGCUAUCCGGAGAGCAGAAUAAACUCUUUCUUUGAACCAACUCGGUGUCAUUUUGACUUCCUUCCUCCUGUCCCGGAGCAACGCAGACCCAAUCGGCGAACUCCAAUAAGGCUACACCACUUUUUGAUCUCCAAAUGAAUGUCAUGGGAUUAAUUGGGCAUAUACAGUCAUGGCUGCUCCAUUAGACCAAUUGGGGGCACUGUCUCACCAACCUCAGUCUACCCUCAGCCAGCAUUCACUCCCGUUUUCUUACCUACAACCACUCCAGCAGGUUGUAGCUGGCAGUUUUCUCCUAUUCCUCAGUUAGAGCAGUGCCCUUUUAGACGUAAGCAUGGAGGAGGAUGGGGACAAAACCAGAGUGGUUUAACAACCAAUUCUUCUUCACAGGGGAAUUGUAGCUGUGUGAAGGGAAUGGGGUCUUCUAACAGCUUUCAGCACCCUUAACAAACUGCUAAAACUUCAGCCCUGUAUACCUGAAGGAGUGUCUCCACUUCCAUUGUCCAGCCUGGACACUGAGGUCCAGCUCUGAGGGCCUUCUGGCAGUUCUCUCACUGUGAGAGGUGAGGUUACAGGGAACCAUGCAGAGGGCCUUUUUGGUAGUGGUGUCAACACUGUAGAACACCCUCCCAUCAGAUGUCAAGGAGAUAAACAGCUAUGUGAUUUUUAAAAUACAUGAAGGUAGCUGUGUUCAGGGAAGUUUUCUGUGUUUGCUGUUGUAUUGUGUUUUUCCUCUUUUUUUGUUGGGAGCUGCCCAGAGUGGCUGGGGCAACCCAGUCAGAUGGGCAACAUAUAAACAACAAAUUACUACUACUACAGCUCCCAUAAUUCUUUGGGGAAAAACAUGGCUGUUAAAGUGGUAUCAUGCUGCUUAAAAUGUAUGAGGUGGUUGUGGGCUGAGGUUCAUGCCCCUUUCAACCUAAUGGACCAGCUUCCAUUGUCUUGACAGGAUUGAAAAAGACUGUGGGAUACAAGGACCAACUUUGUUCCUGAAGAGAGUAUCUUCAUGGCUGAAUGCUUGCAUGUGAGAGCCUGUUGUGGGUGAUAAGAAUCUUUACUUUGCUCUUUUUCUGCUUUCUUCUGCCUCCUUCAAUUAACUCACUGCUGAGUUUGUGUACGGUAUGUAAAUGUCUCGUCUGUCUCCCUGUCUUCACACAGCACACCAAUGUGGUGAUUGGCUUCUGUGUAGUUGUCAUCCCUUUUCUACUCUGGCAGAGCUAUUCCUGAGGGUGAAAAAGCAGAUGGCCGCAAAGCCUUUGAAGAGGGACUCUGUUGAUACCACGGAAAGUCACCCAGGCAAUGUAAUUGCAGCCGUGAGGGCCAGUGAGGUUUGGGCAAUGGCAAAAGCUUGAUGUUGGCUCUACUUUAUGCAAAUUGAGGACAGUCGCUAGAUAGAAGGAAAUGUCUGGAUCCCAGAACAUAUCAACUUAAAAAAAACAAAAGCUUUUAAGGCCAAACCACAUGUGAUAUUACGUGCAUCUUUGAAUCUAGCAUGCAGGUUUUUAAAAAUGCAAAUGGCAUCAGCUGGAAGGGCUUACAGUUAGGAGGAUCAGAAUAGGCAUGGAGAGGGAAUUUAAAUAAAGUUGUGCUGAAUCUCCUCCCUCCCAAUUUGUGGGGGAUAAUUAGUCCUCUGUAAAACGGGGAAGGGAUAUUCUGUGACCUUUGGGGAGGAAGUGGGAAAAUGUGAUCAUUUGGGGGGCGGAUUCAUACUUUGAAUUUCAAAGUGGUUGAGGCUUUCCCUUUUAAGACAGUUCAUAAAUAAAAUAUCCCCUCCCCCAAUCAUCAACACAACUUCAAGCUUCUUGUGACAUGGCAUCAUUUCAAGGGCAUUUUUUGUGGGUGGGGAGAGAAUGGCCUAAAAAGAAGUGCACUAGCAGUGUUGUCCUACAUUUAGCAAAUGGAUCGAGAGAAUGCAGGGAGGAGGAAUCUCAGGAUCAGGUGCUAAAUGCAGCCCCUGAGGCCUCUCUGUCUGGGCUUUGGGAAUCUUGCCAGGUCACCUUGUCUCCCCAGCCAGCUCCUUCUCCCCAGGCCACACCCCUCACUGGCUCAGCUUUGUAUCCUCCUUGAGUGUUUUUGCCUGGUAGGAAUGUGUCCUUGGACUCAGGCUUCUGGAUCACCUGGAUGGAGGACAGAGAGGGUUGUGCAAACGCGAUUUCUAUUCUAUCCUCUUUUGUUCUACUACACUUUGGUUUCCGUCAAAGCCUAUGCUAUUUGUCCCACCAUCCACUAAGGGGAAAAUUAAUGUAAUUAAUUGCAUAAUUAAUUUCAAUACAUUUCAGUGGAAGGGAAACAUAGCAAACAAUGCAGAAAAUAAUGUAGUUCAGUGUGAAACAUUUGCAGACUGAAACAAAAACAAAAACCCAAUCCUAGCACGUCCUGUUCAUAUUUGCUAGCUUGGUUGAACCUGGAGAUGACUGCAGACUCUGCUCCCACUUCCAUUUCCAAUGGAAUUCUCUGACAUCCCUAAACAUGGCUAUCUUCAGCUGGGAUGAAAAACAGCAAACAUUGUUGCUCAGAUGGAAUCAAAACGUCCCUUUCUUUGUAUCUAUUUCUGAAAAGACCUUCCCCAUUACUCCUCAAACUUUGCUUACCUCUCUUACUGUUCAGCACAUUCCAAAUGUGCGUCGCAAGAUGGACACGCUAUAUUUGAUUCAACGAGAGACAAAUUGAACCAGUGUGCACAUUGCAACACCAAUGGCAUUCAGGGGUUUAUUGCCAUAUGCCUUCUGCCAUAUGCUGUCAGAAGGGGAAACAGAGAGAAGGAAUCCUUUGUUUUCUGGGGGAACAAAAAUCUAGUAUAAGACUUUACACAUCCAAAGGUGGAGUGGAACCAACCUAUACAUAAGCUUUGGAAAGCCAGAACUGUAGCUCAGAACUGCGGAACCAUUUUCAGUCCUGGGACCAUAUUCCUUGCUGGGUAACCUUACUAGGGCAGAUGGGGCCAGAGGCAAAGAUGGGUUGUGCAAUGAGUGUAAAUCUUAGCUUUGUACACACUUGCACCUCACCCCUCCUGUCCUCCACCCAGGCAAGUGGGAAGCAUUAUCCCCAUUCAAGGACAUAUUCCAGCCAAGCAAAAACAUGCAUGGGGGAAGCAAACUAGGGUUGAAGAAAUGUGUGGCUGAGGAGGGAAUGUGGCCUGGGGAGAGUAUUUGGGGCAAGAUGGAGAGGUUUGGUGGGUUGCAUUUGGCCUCUGGACCUGAGGUUCCCCACCCAUGCUCUGUCUGCAACAAUGAUGACUGGUAUCUGAGAGCCCAUUUAGACAGAGCUAGUUCCAGCUGCUGAGGGGCAAUAUGUGCUAAUUUCCCCACAAAAAUGAGUACGCCCACUUCCUUCACCCUUACUACUAUUGUUGCUGCCCUUUCUUGGCAAUUAUUGCCACCUCCCUCUAGGUCAAACACAGACAGCCUCCCAAAUGGAAAGGACAAGGCAGCCUUACCCAGCUAGAGAACAUCUGGAACUCCCAUCAACCCCACCCAGCAUGUGCUGCAAGAAAGCCACAGGCAGUAGGUAGGUGUGUGAGUAGCUUUUAAGCUUUGAGAGAUGGCUGGAAUGGUGGUGGUAAUGGGAUUCUCUGUACAUGGCUGGAGUACCAGUCAAAACCAAUUGCUCCUACAACCACCUGGAACCUUCUUACCACACAGAGUAUGGUUGGGGAACCUGUUGUGAGACCACAACUCCCAUUGACCCUUAUGUCUGGGACUGAUAGGACCUCCAGAAACCUCUAGAUGGCCACAAAUUCCCCAAAUCUGAGGUAGAGGUUCCACUGCAGGUUCCUGUACAAACCUGUCUAAAUUUCUGAUAUCUCAACUCCUCAUCUGUGAUAAGAAGCACUUUGCUGAAAAUGAUAUACAGGUGGUACAUGACCCCAGUCAAGCUUGCAAAAAUCUAUCAUUUGCCCGAUAAUAAAUGCUGGAAAUGUAAAGAAACUGAAGGUACAUUCUUUCACCUUUGGUGGACGUGCCCAAAGAUUAAGGCUUUCUGGGAAAUGAUAUAUAAUGAAUUGAAAAAGGUAUAUAAAUAUACCUUCCUGAAGAAACCAGAGGCCUUUCUUCUGGGCAUUGUCGGCCAAUUGGUGCCAAAGAAGGACAGAACUUUUUUUAUGUAUGCUACAACAGCAGCAAGAAUACUUAUUGCAAAGUAUUGGAAGACACAAGAUCUACCCACUCUGGAAGAAUGGCAGAUGAAGGUGAUUGACUACAUGGAAUUGGCAGAAAUGACUGGCAGAAUCCGAGACCAGGGAGAAGAGUCGGUGAAAGAAGACUGG